rnacentral:rRNA from 1 species
UACGUAGGGCGCAAGCGUUGUCCGGAAUUAUUGGGCGUAAAGAGCUCGUAGGCGGCCAGUUGCGUCCGCUGUGAAAUCCCAGGGCUUAACCCUGGGCGUGCAGUGGAUACGGGCUGGCUGGAGGCAGGCAGGGGAGAACGGAAUUCCCGGUGUAGCGGUGGAAAUGCGCAGAUAUCGGGAGGAACACCGGUGGCGAAGGCGGUUCUCUGGGCCUGUACUGACGCUGAGGAGCGAAAGCGUGGGGAGCGAACAGG